rnacentral:rRNA from 1 species
GUCUUCUUGGUUUUAUUUGAAGUCUGGCCUGCCCACUGAUGUUUGAAGGGCCGCGGUAUUUUGACCGUGCAAAGGUAGCAUAAUCAUUAGUCUUUUAAUUGAAGGCUGGAAUGAAGGGUUGGACGAGGUAUAAGCUGUCUUGUUUAAAUUGUUAGUUGAAUUUAAUUUUUAAGUUAAAAAGCUUAAAUUUUUUUGGAGGACGAGAAGACCCUAUAGAGCUUUAUAGAAUUAUUAAUAAGUAAUUUGUGGUUGUUUUGUUAUUUAUUAUUUCGGUUUUAUUUUGUUGGGGUGACAGGAAAAUUAGAUUAACUUUUUUAUUUUAUUUACAUUGAUUUAUGAGUUGUUGAUCCAUUACUAGUGAUUAUAAGAUUAAGUUACCUUAGGGAUAACAGCGUAAUUUUCUUUGAGAGUUCUUAUCGACAGGAAAGAUUGCGACCUCGAUGUUGGAUUAAGGAUAAUUUUUGGUGUAGAAGUUGAAAUAUUAGGUCUGUUCGACCUUUAAAUCCUUACA